UAAUCAACUGUUUUUCUCAGUGGAUUUUGCAAAGACCCUUUCUAAAUUAAAAGGGACAUCACAAUAACCAAUCAUAUAAACUAAUUCUUAGUAAAAUAAAAUGCUCUCGUCUCCUGUGCAAAGUUCUUGUUCUGUUUUUUGUAGUUUCUAACAGCUUUGAUAUUUUAGGCAAGUCAGAACUUGCCUAAACAAACGCUUCAUUAACAAACCUUUUUUAUGUGUGAUUACUCUGGUAUUUUCUACUCUAUUCUAUAUUAUUUUUAAAAAAUACUGGUUGCAACUCAUUAAAUUGAUUUCAGGACCCACUAAUGGGCUACAACCUGCAAUUUGAAAAACAGUGAUUUAAAUAUUCUCUCAUGUCCCUUCUACUUCAGAUAUUUGCUACUAAAUGUGUCUACUGCUUUAUUCUCUUGACUACAACACAAAGCAUAUUAGACACCUACAGCACUGUUAUUUUACAAUUUAUUUUCAAAUCACUUCCAAAGUCGAUUUAAGAUAGUUUACAAUAAAUGCAGAGUUAUGUUUUUAAGGGAAAAGGGAAAAAUGAGAAAUGAUGGAGAAAGUACUUUUCCACUUUUCAGGAAUUAAAAUAGUCAUGGAAAGAAAAAUAAAGUAUCAGGAAAUACAGGUAUCAAGUCAUUUAGUCUAAAUUACUUCUCACUGUACUUUGUUAAAAGGAGAUCAGAAUUUCAAAGACCAGAAGAGGUUGCUGAGAGUGGAAUUGUCCAGCCAUUGCAGCCCUCCUUCCACGGGAGAAAAGAAAGAGGUCUUGGACAAAUGUGGGAUUCCUGUGGUCUGGAAGUAAAUCUGAGGUGGGGUCUUGCUAUGUCACCCAGGCUGGAGUGCAGUGACUAUUCACAGGCAUGAUCAUCGCACACUACAGUGUUAAACUCUGGGCUUAAGCCAUCCUCCUGCCUCAGUCUCUCAAGUAGCUGGGACCACAGGCACAUGCCACCAUGCCUGGCUUGUACUUGAUUUUUAAAGUUCUUGGCAAUGUGUUUCUUAACAAUUAUCUUUGAAAAAUUGUCUUUUGUUGGCAUGUUCUUCUCAUGCAAUUGGAGACAGUUCUUCCUGCUAGUUUCACAUUUUACCUUUUUGGUGGGUUCUACUUGCCCAUUCCACACUGAUAGGAGCAUUUUUUCCCCCCUUUCUUUCCUUUUAUUAUUUUUAUUUUUUAACUUCCUGUGUUAGGCACCAAACCAUACUGCUCUGCCCCUGUUACCAAGAACUUAUGUUGCCAGUAUAAAUAAGAUCACCUGCUUUGUGCAUUGCCGUUCAGAGUGGCAGGGAGUUCAAGAUCCAGUGGUUUCGGGGUAGCACUCCAGGCUGGUAUACAUGGCCUUUUGGACCAUUCAAGUCUACCAGCAGUAAGGAAGAUUAAAGAAAUUGGCAGGAUCUUCAGUGUCAGCCAAUAUUAUCAGCAACUGCUGCACAUUCCGGAAGAACAUCAACACCCCUACUUUGACCCACACGAAUCAAUCGUCCUUGCUGCACCAGUUCUUCUGUAGCACCUGGAAGUGCUGCCAAACAAGGGGCUGACUGGCCAGGGUUGGCUCUUCCAGCCAGCAUUGUUUGUCCUGGGUCUCCAGAAACUGUCUCAUCAGCACUGAAUCUGCAAAUAUGAGUAACAUACACCUGGACAGAGCCCUGGAGGGGGCAGAGAGGUGUUCAGGGAUCAGCAGACGCGCUGAAAAACGGAUCGUCUUGCUGCAGGUGUGGUGGCUGCCAAGGCAGGCAGAGCCCUUUGGAUAGAGCCACAUCUGAGAUGAAAGAAUUAAGGCCCAGGGAAUUUAAUUGACAUCCAGUUACCUGUUCCCCUUCUGGAAAAUUCUUGCUGUGAAAAUUUGACAUUUGAUUAGCCAUUGGUGAGACUUCAGCAGUCCUGGGGAAACUUCAGUCUUCAUUCCAAGGACUCCCUCCCUCUGGAGCCCCCUGGACUGCAGGCGUCUCUUGGAUGCGGAUGUUCCCUCUACACAAGGUGAUCAGAAGGGUAAAUAUUCAGGGUGUGUAUUUACAUGACCAUGAACCAUGCUACUUUUUGUCUGUGAGGAAGGAUGGAUAAAACCUGUAUCUACCACAUUCUGAUAAGAAAAGGGGCCUUCAAGUCAGGCAGAUCUAGAUUUUAGUCUUGCUUCCAAACACACUCAGCUGUGUGACAGAGAGACAACUUACUUGAUCCCUUUAGGUUUCAACUCACUGAUUUGCAAAAUGAGAACAAUACUUGCCCCUAAUGUAAAGGUUUGGGGGAAGGCCAAAUGAGAUAAUGUUUAUGGAACAUUUAGCACAGGGCCUUGCAAAGAAUACAUAAGCAAUUAUUAUUACAGUUGACCCUUGAAUAAUGUGAAAGUUACGGAGGCUGACCCCCGCCAUGCAGUCAAAAAUCUGCAUAUAACUUUUGACUUCUCAAAAACUUAACUACUAAUAGUUGACUUUUGACUGGAAACCUUGCCAAUACUAUAAACAGUCAAUUAGCAUAUAUUUUGCAUAUGUAUUAUAUUCUAUAUUCUUAUAAUAAAGUAAGCUAAAGAAAAUGUUAUUAAGAAAAUCAUAAGGAGAAGAAAAUACAUUUACAGCACUGUACUGUAUGUAUUGAUACCGUAAGUUUCCAUUGCCUGUUCACAAGAUGAAUAAUCUGUCUGAAAUG